rnacentral:rRNA from 1 species
UUGGGUAACACUAACUGGAGGACCGAACCGACUAAUGUUGAAAAAUUAGCGGAUGACUUGUGGCUGGGGGUGAAAGGCCAAUCAAACCGGGAGAUAGCUGGUUCUCCCCGAAAGCUAUUUAGGUAGCGCCUCGUGAAUUCAUCUCCGGGGGUAGAGCACUGUUUCGGCAAGGGGGUCAUCCCGACUUACCAACCCGAUGCAAACUGCGAAUACCGGAGAAUGUUAUCACGGGAGACACACGGCGGGUGCUAACGUCCGUCGUGAAGAGGGAAACAACCCAGACCGCCAGCUAAGGUCCCAAAGUCAUGGUUAAGUGGGAAACGAUGUGGGAAGGCCCAGACAGCCAGGAUGUUGGCUUAGAAGCAGCCAUCAUUUAAAGAAAGCGUAAUAGCUCACUGGUCGAGUCGGCCUGCGCGGAAGAUGUAACGGGGCUAAACCAUGCACCGAAGCUGCGGCAGCGACGCUUAUGCGUUGUUGGGUAGGGGAGCGUUCUGUAAGCCUGCGAAGGUGUGCUGUGAGGCAUGCUGGAGGUAUCAGAAGUGCGAAUGCUGACAUAAGUAACGAUAAAGCGGGUGAAAAGCCCGCUCGCCGGAAGACCAAGGGUUCCUGUCCAACGUUAAUCGGGGCAGGGUGAGUCGACCCCUAAGGCGAGGCCGAAAGGCGUAGUCGAUGGGAAACAGGUUAAUAUUCCUGUACUUGGUGUUACUGCGAAGGGGGGACGGAGAAGGCUAUGUUGGCCGGGCGACGGUUGUCCCGGUUUAAGCGUGUAGGCUGGUUUUCCAGGCAAAUCCGGAAAAUCAAGGCUGAGGCGUGAUGACGAGGCACUACGGUGCUGAAGCAACAAAUGCCCUGCUUCCAGGAAAAGCCUCUAAGCAUCAGGUAACAUCAAAUCGUACCCCAAACCGACACAGGUGGUCAGGUAGAGAAUACCAAGGCGCUUGAGAGAACUCGGGUGAAGGAACUAGGCAAAAUGGUGCCGUAACUUCGGGAGAA